UGGCUCAAGGCGAACGCUGGCGGCGUUGCUUAACACAUGCAAGUUCGAACGAUGAAGCGGUGCUUUGCACCGUGGAUUAGUCGGCGAACGGGUGAGUAAUACGUUGAGUGGCCUACCUUUGACUCUGGGAUAAGCCUGGGAAACUGGGUCUAAUACCGGAUACGACCAAUCUCUGCAUGGGGUGUUGGUGGAAAGCGUUAUGGAGUGGUUUUAGAUGGGCUCACGGCCUAUCAGCUUGUUGGUGAGGUAAUGGCUUACCAAGGCGACGACGGGUAGCCGGCCUGAGAGGGUGACCGGCCACACUGGGACUGAGACACGGCCCAGACUCCUACGGGAGGCAGCAGUGGGGAAUAUUGCACAAUGGGCGCAAGCCUGAUGCAGCGACGCCGCGUGAGGGAUGACGGCCUUCGGGUUUGUAAACCUCUGUUAGCAUCGAAGAAGCGAAAGUUGACGGUAGGUGCAGAGAAAGCGCCGGCUAACUACGUGCCAGCAGCCGCGGUAAUACGUAGGGCGCGAGCGUUGUCCGGAAUUAUUGGGCGUAAAGAGCUUGUAGGCGGUUGGUCGCGUCUGCUGUGAAAGGCCGGGGCUUAACUCCGGUUUUGCAGUGGGUACGGGCUAACUAGAGUGCAGUAGGGGAGACUGGAAUUCCUGGUGUAGCGGUGGAAUGCACAGAUAUCAGGAGGAACACCGAUGGCGAAGGCAGGUCUCUGGGCUGUAACUGACGCUGAGAAGCGAAAGCAUGGGGAGCGAACAGGAUUAGAUACCCUGGUAGUCCAUGCCGUAAACGUUGGGCACUAGGUGUGGGGGACAUUCCACGUUUUCCGCGCCGUAGCUAACGCAUUAAGUGCCCCGCCUGGGGAGUACGGCCGCAAGGCUAAAACUCAAAGGAAUUGACGGGGGCCCGCACAAGCGGCGGAGCAUGCGGAUUAAUUCGAUGCAACGCGAAGAACCUUACCAAGGCUUGACAUGCAUUAGAUCGCGUCAGAGAUGGCGUUUCCCUUCGGGGCUGGUGUACAGGUGGUGCAUGGUUGUCGUCAGCUCGUGUCGUGAGAUGUUGGGUUAAGUCCCGCAACGAGCGCAACCCUCGUUCUAUGUUGCCAGCGGUUCGGCCGGGGACUCAUAGGAGACUGCCGGGGUCAACUCGGAGGAAGGUGGGGAUGACGUCAAAUCAUCAUGCCCCUUAUGUCUUGGGCUUCACGCAUGCUACAAUGGCCGGUACAGAGGGUUGCGAUACUGUGAGGUGGAGCUAAUCCCUUAAAGCCGGUCUCAGUUCGGAUUGGGGUCUGCAACUCGACCCCAUGAAGUCGGAGUCGCUAGUAAUCGCAGAUCAGCAACGCUGCGGUGAAUACGUUCCCGGGCUUUGUACUCACCGCCCGUC
rnacentral:rRNA from 1 species